AGUCGAACGAAGUAGCAAUACUUAGUGGCAGACGGGUGAGUAACAUGUAGGUAUCUGCCCUUUGGCCUGGAAUAACACGAGGAAACUUGUGCUAAUACCGGAUAAGUCUUUACGGAGAAAGCUUAAUGCACCAUUGGAUGAGCCUGCACUUGAUUAGUUUGUUGGUGGGGUAAUGGCCUACCAAGACUUUGAUCAAUAGCUGAUUUGAGAGGAUGAUCAGCCACAUUGGGACUGAGACACGGCCCAAACUCCUACGGGAGGCAGCAGUGGGGAAUCUUGCACAAUGGAGGAAACUCUGAUGCAGCGAUGCCGCGUGAGUGAAGAAGGCCUUUGGGUUGUAAAGCUCUUUCGUCGGGGAAGAAAAUGACUGUACCCGAAUAAGAAGGUCCGGCUAACUUCGUGCCAGCAGCCGCGGUAAUACGAAGGGACCUAGCGUAGUUCGGAAUUACUGGGCUUAAAGAGUUCGUAGGUGGUUGAAAAAGUUGGUGGUGAAAUCCCAGAGCUUAACUCUGGAACUGCCAUCAAAACUUUUCAGCUAGAGUAUGAUAGAGGAAAGCAGAAUUUCUAGUGUAGAGGUGAAAUUCGUAGAUAUUAGAAAGAAUACCAAUUGCGAAGGCAGCUUUCUGGAUCAUUACUGACACUGAGGAACGAAAGCAUGGGUAGCGAAGAGGAUUAGAUACCCUCGUAGUCCAUGCCGUAAACGAUGUGUGUUAGACGUUGGAAAUUUAUUUUCAGUGUCGCAGCGAAAGCGAUAAACACACCGCCUGGGGAGUACGACCGCAAGGUUAAAACUCAAAUGAAUUGACGGGGACCCGCACAAGUAGUGGAGCAUGUGGUUUAAUUCGAAGAUACGCGCAGAACCUUACCAACACUUGACAUGUUCGUCGCGACUUUAAGAGAUUAAAGUUUUCGGUUCGGCCGGACGAAACACAGGUGCUGCAUGGCUGUCGUCAGCUCGUGUCGUGAGAUGUUGGGUUAAGUCCCGCAACGAGCGCAACCCUCACUUUUAGUUGCCAUCAUUAAGUUGGGCACUCUGAAAGAACUGCCAGUGAUAAGCUGGAGGAAGGUGGGGAUGACGUCAAGUCCUCAUGGCCCUUACGUGUUGGGCUACACACGUGCUACAAUGGUAUCUACAACAGGAAGCAAGACUGCGAAGUUAAGCAAAUCCCUAAAAGAUACCUCAGUUCGGAUUGCACUCUGCAACUCGAGUGCAUGAAGCUGGAAUUACUAGUAAUCGUGGAUCAGCGUGCCACGGUGAAUGCGUUCCCGGGUCUUGUACACACCGCCCGUCACACCAUGGGAGUUGGUUCUACCUUAAGGCAAGGUUCAAACC
rnacentral:rRNA from 1 species